UACAGAGGUCUCAAGCGUUGUUCGGAUUCAUUGGGCGUAAAGGGUGCGUAGGCGGCGCGGUAAGUCGGGUGUGAAAUCUCGGAGCUUAACUCCGAAACUGCAUUCGAUACUGCCGUGCUUGAGGACUGGAGAGGAGACUGGAAUUUACGGUGUAGCGGUGAAAUGCGUAGAUAUCGUAAGGAAGACCAGUGGCGAAGGCGGGUCUCGUGGACAGUUCCUGACGCUGAGGCAACGGAAGGUCAGGGGAGCAAACGGG
rnacentral:rRNA from 1 species